GGAGAAGGGAAAUCUUGGGGUGCCUCAGUUACCAGGACAAGGAUGUUCAUUUCACAGCUUUCGUACCAAUACGUACAAACUCAGUUUUAUGGAGAGUCCAUCUGGUAUAAAGAUCAUUCUCGUCACUCAUCCCAGGACUGGUGAUCUAAGGGAUUCCCUGAAGUAUAUUUACAAUUUGUAAGUUGAAUAGGUUGUCAAGAAUCCACUCUAUAGUCCAGGAACUCCAAUCAGGUGAGUGAUAUAUAUUUUCUAUCUUAUUUUUAUCAUUGUGAAACACUUAUAUGAUGACCUAUUAGCUAAGGGUUUUAAAUGCUGCAUGACACCUCGGAGAUUUUCUAU